rnacentral:rRNA from 1 species
UACGUAGGGUGCAAGCGUUAAUCGGAAUUACUGGGCGUAAAGCGUGCGCAGGCGGUUCUAUAGGACAGAUGUGAAAUCCCCGGGCUCAACCUGGGAACUGCAUUUGUGACUGUAGAGCUGGAGUACGGCAGAGGGGGAUGGAAUUCCGCGUGUAGCAGUGAAAUGCGUAGAUAUGCGGAGGAACACCGAUGGCGAAGGCAAUCCCCUGGGCCUGUACUGACGCUCAUGCACGAAAGCGUGGGGAGCAAACAGG